CCUAUGAAACCGGGAAAGGCAAUCCAAUCCAGUUCUCCCUUUUAGAAUUUGAUUACUGAGGUUUUGGACAAGUGCAUUUGAGGAAGUCAUCUUAGGUUGGCAUGAAGUAUAAAUACUUAAAAUGAACCCUGGAGUUGAGUUUGAGAAACCUGAAAAAACAGGUAGGUAAGAAAUAGGAGAGAGAUAAAUGAUUCAGAGGCCCCGAACAAGAUCAUUUGGCCUGUGGUUUUGGGAGGAUUUAACAGCUGUGAGUGAGACCUCAGAUCCAAGCCAACCCUGAAUCCUGCAUGCAGUUUGGCAAGACCACAAGUGCAAUUUAUCUGAAAACAUGAAAGAAUCUUCCUCUUCCUACUGCCAACUGGGACCCCAGCAAUGGAAAUGUUGAGAACUGGUUUGAUCUUACUGCUCUUCCAAUCGUG
rnacentral:lncRNA from 10 species